rnacentral:rRNA from 1 species
UACAGAGGGUGCAAGCGUUGUUCGGAAUUAUUGGGCGUAAAGCGCGUGUAGGCGGCUUUGCAAGUCGGGUGUGAAAGCCCUCGGCUCAACCGAGGAAGUGCGCCCGAAACUGCAGAGCUUGAGUACCGGAGAGGAUGGCGGAAUUCCCCAAGUAGAGGUGAAAUUCGUAGAUAUGGGGAGGAACACCGGUGGCGAAGGCGGCCAUCUGGACGGAUACUGACGCUGAGGCACGAAAGCGUGGGGAGCAAACAGG